rnacentral:siRNA from 1 species
UACAAUCCUCAAAUGAAUAUAU